CGUGCAGCCUCGGCUGGGGUUUGAGGGGUCCCAGGCCUGGGAGAGCCCCGGUCACCGGACCGAGGAUCGGGGAACGAUGCUCCAGGGAGGACGGUCAGUGGGGCCACAGGGCAGCCCAGACGUGGAAUUCCGGACACCUCAGCGAAACGUAAACCUGCAGCAGCGUCUACGACAAGUCUCCAAAGCGUGAUUUGUGGAACCGGGAGUGCAGCGCAAUGAACUGGAAAACCGCCUCUGGUCUUCGGGAAAAUCCUCUGCACAGCCAUCCCCUGAUGGGAACCCCCCACCCCCUGCAACACUAUUUACAUCUCAUUUGCUUUGCGUCCGCCACCUUGGGAAAAAGGUUCUGUGAUGCCUGCUUCCAAGAUGGGGAAAUCGAGGCACGCAUGCACAGAGUAAGUUGCAAGACGCGAAGUGUCUGUGACUUGCAUGGGUGCCUAAGUCACACGUGCCGCUCACACUGGAGCGAUUUGUGAUCCACAUUCCUGGGAGAAGAAGCUCUGCCCUUUGGUUGGAGCCAAGUCUCCGAGUGAAUCUUUGGGCGAGCAAAUUCCAAGCGCAUGAGCCACGCGGUCUCUCAGGGCAGGCCUGGGCCGGGAAACACCGGCGAUGCCAACUGCAGCUGAUGCAGCGCUGGCUGGAGGGGCUCUGCCUGAACUUUCUCCUCGCUCCCUCCGCCGUGACUGAGGGAACCGGGCCACUCUUCCCUGGGUCUUCCCCUUCCUUCCCCACGCGCGCUCUGGGAAACACUCGGCCGACUCUCUAGACUCUCCCAGGGUCUCUGGGUUCACAUCGCUUGGCAGCGUCCAGGAGACCCGGCCUGAGAAGCCGGAAUGGCUGGCACAGGGAGGCAGUGACCGACCUGCCCGGCUCGGCUUGGCCUCCACCUCCCGCAUCUUAGCACGGAGCCCGGAUGCAGAGGAAAGACAGCCCGGCGCUGGGGUUGGAGAAAGAGAUCCGUGUAGUUCAGGGGAGCUCACAAUAUCUGUCCCUCCCUUCCACAGUGGUCUCUGACCAUGUUGAGUUUAAUGUGUAACGCUGGGGAAAGAGAAGUUUUAAUACCUAGUCUGGCUUGUAAAGGCUCAUGAAAUGAGUUGAAUUAAAUCCUUUUAAAAAAGAAGUUA